rnacentral:rRNA from 1 species
AGAGUUUGAUCAUGGCUCAGAUUGAACGCUGGCGGCAUGCCUUACACAUGCAAGUCGAACGGCAGCACGGGAGUAAUCCUGGUGGCGAGUGGCGAACGGGUGAGUAAUACAUCGGAACGUGUCCUGUAGUGGGGGAUAGCCCGGCGAAAGCCGGAUUAAUACCGCAUACGCUCUACGGAGGAAAGGGGGGGAUCUUAGGACCUCCCGCUAUAGGGGCGGCCGAUGGCAGAUUAGCUAGUUGGUGGGGUAAAGGCCUACCAAGGCGACGAUCUGUAGCUGGUCUGAGAGGACGACCAGCCACACUGGGACUGAGACACGGCCCAGACUCCUACGGGAGGCAGCAGUGGGGAAUUUUGGACAAUGGGGGAAACCCUGAUCCAGCAAUGCCGCGUGUGUGAAGAAGGCCUUCGGGUUGUAAAGCACUUUUGUCCGGAAAGAAAACCUCUGGGUUAAUACCCUGGGGGGAUGACGGUACCGGAAGAAUAAGCACCGGCUAACUACGUGCCAGCAGCCGCGGUAAUACGUAGGGUGCAAGCGUUAAUCGGAAUUACUGGGCGUAAAGCGUGCGCAGGCGGUCCGCUAAGACAGAUGUGAAAUCCCCGGGCUUAACCUGGGAACUGCAUUUGUGACUGGCGGGCUAGAGUAUGGCAGAGGGGGGUAGAAUUCCACGUGUAGCAGUGAAAUGCGUAGAGAUGUGGAGGAAUACCGAUGGCGAAGGCAGCCCCCUGGGCCAAUACUGACGCUCAUGCACGAAAGCGUGGGGAGCAAACAGGAUUAGUUACCCUGGUAGUCCACGCCCUAAACGAUGUCAACUAGUUGUCGGGUCUUCAUUGACUUGGUAACGAAGCUAACGCGUGAAGUUGACCGCCUGGGGAGUACGGUCGCAAGAUUAAAACUCAAAGGAAUUGACGGGGACCCGCACAAGCGGUGGAUGAUGUGGAUUAAUUCGAUGCAACGCGAAAAACCUUACCUACCCUUGACAUGUAUGGAACCUGGCCGAGAGGUUGGGGUGCCCGAAAGGGAGCCAUAACACAGGUGCUGCAUGGCUGUCGUCAGCUCGUGUCGUGAGAUGUUGGGUUAAGUCCCGCAACGAGCGCAACCCUUGUCCCUAGUUGCUACGCAAGAUGGCUGGGCACUCUAAAGGAACUGCCGGCGACAAGCCGGAGGAAGGUGGGGAUGACGUCAAGUCCUCAUGGCCCUUAUGUCCUGGGCUACACACGUGCUACAAUGGCGGUGACAGUGGGAAGCCAGGUCGCGAGGCCGAGCC